GCCCAGUCAACAGGCCUCUUCCGUCCAACAGUGUUGACGUAUGCCAAAACGCACUGAAGUGUUGCAGUUUCCCUGAGAAUGAUACACAGCCAACAAACACCUGAUUUUGCUUCUGAAUUCCAUUAUUCUGUCAGCUUCAUCUUACAUGCUUAUAAUUCAUCAGCCCUACUGACGCCCCGAGCAUAAUCUGAACUCUACCCCUCCUCAAAGCAAGAACAAAGUAAUAAAAGCUGAAAGCCAUAAACACUUUUAUUUUGAGACCGUCUACCCGGGAGCCAGAUGCGUUUCUCUCCGAGUUGCUGAUUGAUAUUGAUGCUAUAAUUACAAUAUGGGACGUAGGUAUAUAAGAGACGAAAACACAAGGUGUCUGGAUCUUGCGAGUUUGGCUUGUUUCCCCGCAAACUGUUCAAGGUUUGUUUCCCGGCAAACUCUGCUGCUCUUUCCUUGCCUCCAUCUUUUUUUUCUCUCUUUCCUAACAGCUUCCCGUCUCUCCUCACCCUUUUGAAGUGGCUUUAGACUUGCGAGACUCUAGUAUGUGACAAACAGGCAGCGAUAUCGUUAGAUUCCUCUCCACAGAGGGCUGCCUCUCACAGAGAACUUUACAAGAAAAACUCUCUCAAAGCAACCUUCUCUGGAUGCGUGAUAGAUUCAUAUAAACCACUACAAUACUCCUCGAUACUUGAUCAAAUAAUGAACGCUGUGUUCUCCCUAUGCAGGAAACGUGGAUAUAAUUAGGACGAAGCUGGCACAACGCUAUAAUUUGGCUGGAGUUUGUUGAUGUACAGACUGCUUGGGUGACUCCUCGUAAUGAUUUCUGGCCCACCUCCAAUGAGAGCAGGCGAAUUUGGAUUCACAAUAAAGUAAGCUAUAAUAAGUGA